AAGCAUGGUCGUGUGAACAAAAGCGAGGCAAUUGAAAACGAAGAAACUCAGCAAGUUUGGGACAAAUGUAUAAGUAAUAUGUUUUCAUAUUAUAUUUGUGUGUAUGAAAUGAGAAUAAAUGUGAUAGGUUUGGUUCUUGUUUAGGUUCAAUUGUCACAAACUAAUUCAGAAGAGAUGAGUAAUGAUCACUCCGACAUUCUAAGUCAAGCUUUAUGUCUCCCAGAGUAUCCAAGUCGUGUUAGGGGAAUGAGAUUUGGAGUCGGUCAUAGAGAUUAUUUCCCAUCCAAAAAGCGUCAUAUGCACCAUGAGCAUGAUAAAUUAACUGCUCAAGUAAAAGACAUGUUGGAAAGAAUGACACAAAUGGAAAAUGAUAUGAUUUCGCAUCGAAAAUUGGCACACCAAAUACUACUGAAGAAGCUAACAUUAAUAGUGGCCAAGGGAGUUGCACAUUGUCAUCAAAUAGUUUUCCCGAGGUAACGAACUUAUCUAUAUUACUUUCAUUAUCACUUUAAUUUGCUUACUUUAAACUUUCAUAGGUCUUCAUAUCUAGUCACAUUGAAGAUUGUUUUAUAAUUAUGUUUUAUAAUGUAAGGGGUCUCGAGUUGUAAAUUUUUUACAUUAUCACCAUCACUUUGCUUGGUUGCCCAUGGAAAAUUGCAUAAUUUUAAAAGUGAUACACUACAUGGUAGACCUCUACCUAAGGGACAUGUCAAAGUUAGUAUAAAUAUUGCUUUGGAGCCAAAUGUAUCGUUGUCUAUACCAAUUGAUGAUGAUGACAUGAUGGCAAUAGGACAAGCAAUAGGUACAUUUGUGGCAUGGCCAAUGAAUUUCAUACAGAUUAGUGAUGAGGUAUGUUUAUACAAUUGUAUUCAUUCAUAUUUAUGAACAUAUUUUAUCUAUUACCUAACUUGUUUAAUUGAUGAUGUUUUAGGAUUCUACUCAACCUAAAAAGAAAAAGAUGAAUGAUACAAAUGAAUGUGUCUCACACCUAAAAAAAUGUCAAGGGAAAAUGACCAUUCAACAUACUCCUCGUACACUGUUUCAUCUCCAAUCUUUCUGAAUGGUGCAAUUGUCUCUCUUCAUACAUGAAACUAAAGCCAUCAGAGUCACUUCCUCCAAUACAAAUGGACAAAAACAUAUUUGGACUAGAUAAUCAUAAAGAAAUCGUUAAUGCAGAAAUUAUUGAAGAAGUUACUAACUAUGCAUGGCUAGGUGCAACUACAAUUUCUAUAUAUAUCGGGUACCUAUAUCAAAAUUUUGUCAAGCCAAAUGAUAAGGCAUUCUUUUUUUUAUCACCCCAAAUCACAACACAUGAGCUACCAAUGAAAGACAGAAUGCAAAAAAUAGUUACUCUUUUUCUUGAUAAUGUGGUGAUUGAUAAGUUUGUUCUUGCACCUAUUAAUAUCGGUCAACAUUGGGUCUUCCUGGGAACCAAUCUUAAACUAGAGAUAAUUCAUUAUCUUGACCCAGUGGCAGUGUAAACAUUAAUAUGAGGCAACAUUUG